CCCUUAGAUGUCCUGGGCUGCACGCGCGCUACACUGAUGUGUCCAGUAAGCACCUAACCUCUUCCGAAAGGAACGGGUAACCUUUGCAAAGCACAUCGUGAUGGGGAUAGAUUAUUGCAAUUAUUAGUCUUGAACGAGGAAUUCCUAGUAAGCACAAGUCAUCAGCUUGUGUUGAUUACGUCCCUGCCCUUUGUACACACCGCCCGUCGCUCUUACCGAUUGAAUGUUCCGGUGAGCUCUUCGGACUGCGCGGUCUGCAGUUUCUGCGUUCCGUGCGGAAAGUUGCGCAAACCUUAACAUUUAGAGGAAGGAGAAGUCGUAACA
rnacentral:rRNA from 1 species